AGUGAACGCUGGCGGUAGGCCUAACACAUGCAAGUCGAACGGCAGCACAGUAAGAGCUUGCUCUUACGGGUGGCGAGUGGCGGACGGGUGAGGAAUACAUCGGAAUCUACUUUUUCGUGGGGGAUAACGUAGGGAAACUUACGCUAAUACCGCAUACGACCUACGGGUGAAAGCAGGGGAUCUUCGGACCUUGCGCGAUUGAAUGAGCCGAUGUCGGAUUAGCUAGUUGGCGGGGUAAAGGCCCACCAAGGCGACGAUCCGUAGCUGGUCUGAGAGGAUGAUCAGCCACACUGGAACUGAGACACGGUCCAGACUCCUACGGGAGGCAGCAGUGGGGAAUAUUGGGCAAUGGGCGCAAGCCUGAUCCAGCCAUACCGCGUGGGUGAAGAAGGGCUUCGGGUUGUAAAACCCUUUUGUUGGGGAAGAAAAGCAGCAGGUUAAUACCCCGCUGUUCUGACGGUACCCAAAGAAUAAGCACCGGCUAACUUCGUG
rnacentral:rRNA from 1 species